rnacentral:tRNA from 1 species
GGGCACGUAGGCUAGUCUGGACUAGGCUAGAGGCCUUCGGAGCCUCCGACUGGGGUUCAAAUCCCCACGUGCCCG